rnacentral:scRNA from 1 species
UACCGGUGUUUGAUGCUGCAGACUGGUCACCGGUGUUUGAUGCUGCAGAACGAUUA